rnacentral:lncRNA from 1 species
GGUUGCUUUUGUUCCCGCAAAUUUGCGUGGAGCAUUGUUUUUCGGCGAAAACGGGGCGUUCGGCCUUCCUGCUUUAUUUUUGAGCGGUGUAAGAGGGAGGUAGUGGGUAUCUUCGAGAAACGGCCGCCGCGGGGUCCGGAGCCCCGGGUUCCAAUCCCGGGUCGGCCACUGCAAAGCUGUGUGACCUUGGGCGAGUCACUUGGCCUCUCUGAGCCCCAGGCGCCUCCCCGGGAAAAAGAGGGUAAUAAUAACCGCCCCCGAGGUUUGUGCGAAGGUGUUGAGCUCACAGAGGGCCGGCACCGGCACUUUUGAGGCGGCUGACUUGCCCUGGGGGUGUGAUGGGAGGUGCAAGCUUUCUCCAAAAGCCUCGUCCAAAUGGAGCCUUUAAAUCCGCCUUCUUUCCGCGGCUACUUCACCAGCUCGCCAAACGCAGAAAAUGCAAACACAGGGGAGGGGGCAAGGGAGCUGACCUGGCUGGAAGUAAACAGAAACGCCACCCUCCCCUGGCACUUGCAUUGGCACCGGAUUGCAGGUGGGGGAAGGGCCGGUGCACCCAACCACCUUUAAAUCCCACCACUUACACACAGGCAUAGAAGUAGAGCCGCGGGGGCUGGACGCUCAUUCCUCCCCUGCCCUUCCCCUAGAGCGCUGCUUUGAAUGUCUGUUGAUCUAGAACGGGGUCUGUUCAUUCAUGGGUUCCAGGUCCCAAGCGCCCGGGGGCAGCUGAGAGCAAAGCUGGCGCCCUCCCUACCCUGUGGAGCUUACACUCUGGUUCUGGGCAGUGCACACUAGAGAUUGGUUAAAUCAAUGAAUGAACUUUUUCAGGAUAUGGUCCAAGGUGCUGAAAACUUCCUAACAAAACUCUUCAGCCGAAUCUGGCACGCCUGUGGUUCCAGCUACUGGGUAGACCGAGGCAGGAGGAUCGCUUGAGGCCAAGAGUUUAAGACCAACCUGGGCAACAUGAUGAAGAAACUGAGGUUUAGAGCAGCCGCUUGCCCAGCGUAGACAGCGAGAAGGACAGGUCCAGUUCUGCUUGAUGAUGAAGCCUGUGUCUUCUCUGCUGUGUGAUCCUAAUCACGUUGGGAGGUUCCUGAGGAAGCAGAGGAUUUUGCCCUUGCAUUUGAGCCACAGCAGCUCUACUGCAAAGGAGAUGAGGAAGGACAGUGGGCAGGAUCUGACCAGAGUCUUUGCGAUUGAGCUUGCUCUCUUAUGCCUCUGCCAUCACCCACAGAGAAACAUGCCAAGUUAGCCGUCUGGUCCCACGAGAAACAUGGGAAACGGGGAUCAGAGCCAUCCUAGCCGAACUCAGCCCAGAUCAGCAGGCCUUAGUGGACCCCAAGAUAGCAGAGGGUCUGUAACUUUCACCAGAUUCUUAAGGAGUCUGUGACCUGGGAGAGUUUUAAGAGUGGGAAAGCUGUAAGGCCACGCUCAGGCUGGAUUCCAGCCGUGGGACCCCUCGCUUCA